GGCCUCCUGUGUUACUUUGUGUUGCACUUGCUGCAUUCGCAGUAAUAGGGAUUACUGAUGCAGGACCUGCAAUUGGAAUGACCUUUCCUACCGAACUUCCAUUUUGUUGUGUGUGCCUCGAUAUGACGAUUCCAUGUCCUUGCCAUCAUCCAUUCUGUAGAAUAAACCCUUUCUGGAGAGGGUAAAAGAAUGGAUGAAAAUGACAAGCAGAAAGAUGAAUUUGGAAAUUUCUCUUUGUUGAAAUAAAUAACAUCAAAAUUUCA